GCUAAGAAAAAGCACCAAUACUGUUCUUUAUGAAUGCAGGUUGUGCAAUCAGCCUCCCAAACAUGGCACUGAAAAUGGAAUUCCCACUUUCAUAGCUGGCUCUGUAGAUUUACCCCACUGAAGUUCUUCAGAAGACAAGCAUGCUGGAAAAUGCACAGUUCUGGGAGAAGGACUGCCAGCAUUACCAUGGAAACCCCCAAAAAUAAAGACUCCCAGCCUUAUGAGAGUACACCUGCAAGAGCAAGAACUGCCUAUCAAAAGGGACUUCUUGAUUAUGGGUGUCACCUAAGGACAUUUUGUGAGAACUGGAGCUUCCUGUUGUACAAAUGACAAAUUCUCCCAAAGAAGUCUGGUGCUUCUAAGAAGAGAUAUUUCCAAAAGUGCACAGGAUCUCGGGGUCAGGAAUAGCACUUCAGAGUGAAGAAAUUGUUAGAACCAACGCAAUCUAAUCUGCUCAAAAAGGACUCACGUUUGUUUCAGGAGUGACUUUCCUUGGACAUCAGUGAUUAAUGGAAACUCCAGAUCACUCCAGUAAAAUGCAGUCUCACAAGGAAGAACCUGCAACAUCUCAGAGAUCACAGUCUUAAAAAGGAUCCAAACCCAGUGAGCAACUGCAUCCUCCAUAAAUGAAACCUGUCCAUCUUCUAAAAAUCAUCUCAUGGGGAGGAGAUGUCCACAGUAACAGCAACCAACUAUAACAGCAACCCAGGAGAAGCUAUGGCUAAGGCUCCACAUCAGAAAAUCUCCUGCUUGUGUAAGCCCAUGACCCAACAGUCACAGUACCUGCUGAUUUAAAUGGUGAGGAAGAUUUGGGAACAGGAGCCUAACUAUGGUGCCAAGUGAGAAUCACUGACCUCAAUGGGCCCUGCAAGUGCACCCUGAAAACUCAUCCAUUUUGUAUUUCUUCUGGCCCAGAGUGUACAAAGAGGAGGCCCCACCAUGGAGGUGACAGCACCUGGAGCUCAAGGAUGCUGCUGUGGCUGUGCCCUGCAGCUCCCAGCCCAUCCCUGCACAUCCCGCACGGAUCCUGCCCCACCGGGAUCCGCACAGGAAGGGUGGGGCGGGCUCCUCACCUCCUGUCUGCAGAUAGCACAUCCUGAACCAACACUGCCCCUUUUCCUCCUUCCACACAGCCCCGGCGGAAAAGGAGAACGGCCACUGGGGAGGCGCCUCGGCUCCCACGGACACACGCGAGGGAGGGAGACCAAGGAGAGAUGGGCAGAGACUGCACCUAGCAUGGAGCCAUGGGACCUCCCUGAGCAGGGCCUGCACCCAGCACAGAGAGACUGCACUCAGCACAGAGCCAUGGAACCUUCCUGAGCAGAGACUGCAACCAGCAUGGAGCCAUGGGACCUCCCUGAGCAGAGACUGCACCCAGCACAGAGAGACUGCACCCAGCACAGAGCCACGGAACCUCCCUGAGCAGAGACUGCAUCCAGCACAGAGAGACUGCACCCAGCACAGAGCCAUGGAACCUCCCUGAGCAGAGACUGCAUCCAGCACAGAGCCACAGGACCUCCCUGAGCAGAGAGUGCAUCCAGCAGAGCCACAGGACCUCCCUGGAGAUGGCCUUGGCCUCCUGCGAGUCCAUCCCGACUCCUACAGCUGCUCCUGCCCUAUGAUGGGAAAAGGUUUGUGUAUGCACACCUGAGAACCCCUUAGCAAAUACCUGUGGAGGCAUCCCAGUCAAAGGUAGAACACUGUGUGCAUAGAUGUACUUAUUAAAAUAAAUAAUUAGAAUAAUAAUAAGAAUAAUAAAUACUUAGAA